rnacentral:rRNA from 1 species
AACGAACGCUGGCGGCAUGCCUAACACAUGCAAGUCGAACGAUUGCCUUCGGGUGAUAGUGGCGCACGGGUGCGUAACGCGUGGGAAUCUGCCCUUAGGUUCGGAAUAACAGCUGGAAACGGCUGCUAAUACCGGAUGAUAUCGCGAGAUCAAAGAUUUAUCGCCUGAGGAUGAGCCCGCGUUGGAUUAGGUAGUUGGUGGGGUAAAGGCCUACCAAGCCGACGAUCCAUAGCUGGUCUGAGAGGAUGAUCAGCCACACUGGGACUGAGACACGGCCCAGACUCCUACGGGAGGCAGCAGUGGGGAAUAUUGGACAAUGGGCGCAAGCCUGAUCCAGCAAUGCCGUGUGAGUGAUGAAGGCCCUAGGGUUGUAAAGCCCUUUUACCCGGGAAGAUAAUGACUGUACCGGGAGAAUAAGCCCCGGCUAACUCCGUG